GAUGAACGCUGGCGGCGUGCCUAAUACAUGCAAGUCGAGCGAACAGACGAGGAGCUUGCUCCUUUGACGUUAGCGGCGGACGGGUGAGUAACACGUGGGUAACCUACCUAUAAGACUGGGAUAACUUCGGGAAACCGGAGCUAAUACCGGAUAAUAUUUCGAACCGCAUGGUUCGAUAGUGAAAGAUGGCUUUGCUAUCACUUAUAGAUGGACCUGCGCCGUAUUAGCUAGUUGGUAAGGUAACGGCUUACCAAGGCAACGAUACGUAGCCGACCUGAGAGGGUGAUCGGCCACACUGGAACUGAGACACGGUCCAGACUCCUACGGGAGGCAGCAGUAGGGAAUCUUACGCAAUGGGCGAAAGCAUGACGGAGCAACGCCGCGUGAGUGAUGAAGGUCUUCGGAUCGUAAAACUCUGUUAUUAGGGAAGAACAAACGUGUAAGUAACUGUGCACGUCUUGACGGUACCUAAUCAGAAAGCCACGGCUAACUACGUG
rnacentral:rRNA from 1 species